rnacentral:rRNA from 1 species
UACGGAGGGUCCAAGCGUUAUCCGGAAUCAUUGGGUUUAAAGGGUCCGUAGGCGGUUUUGUAAGUCAGUGGUGAAAGCCCAUCGCUCAACGGUGGAACGGCCAUUGAUACUGCAAGACUUGAAUUAUUGGGGAGUAACUAGAAUAUGUAGUGUAGCGGUGAAAUGCUUAGAGAUUACAUGGAAUACCAAUUGCGAAGGCAGGUUACUACCAAUAUAUUGACGCUGAUGGACGAAAGCGUGGGGAGCGAACAGG